UGGGGAAUAUUGCACAAUGGGCGCAAGCCUGAUGCAGCCAUGCCGCGUGUAUGAAGAAGGCCUUCGGGUUGUAAAGUACUUUCAGUCGGGAGGAAGGUGGUAAGGUUAAUAACCUUAUCAAUUGACGUUACCGACAGAAGAAGCACCGGCUAACUCCGUGCCAGCAGCCGCGGUAAUACGGAGGGUGCAAGCGUUAAUCGGAAUUACUGGGCGUAAAGCGCACGCAGGCGGUUUGUUAAGUCAGAUGUGAAAUCCCCGGGCUCAACCUGGGAACUGCAUCUGAUACUGGCAAGCGUGAGUCUCGGAGAGGGGGGUAGAAUUCCAGGUGUAGCGGUGAAAUGCGUAGAGAUCUGGAGGAAUACCGGUGGCGAAGGCGGCCCCCUGGACGAAGACUGACGCUCAGGUGCGAAAGCGUGGGGAGCAAACAGG
rnacentral:rRNA from 1 species